GUGAAGUUAAGGGAACGCAACACUACUGCCAGUGCAAUGAAGGCUCCGAAAAUUUGUUUGAUAUACCUACGCUACCUUGUCUCAAUAAAUGUGUAUUUGGAGCAGAUUGUAAAGGAGUAGAGCUGGGUGGUCACCAGCUGAACCUUGUACCUCCUCCGCCUCCAGGGGAUGGAUCCAGUGGUGACCCUAAGGACCCCAACAGCUCGAGGAGUUUUCGUGCUUUGACUGUUUUGCUAUUAUUUACGAUCUUCCCAGUUUUAAUAUAGAUUGUAAUUAUACAGGAGCUUAUGUAGGUGUGGUGGUGAGA